rnacentral:rRNA from 1 species
AUUGAACGCUGGCGGAAUGCUUUACACAUGCAAGUCGAACGGCAGCACGGACUUCGGUCUGGUGGCGAGUGGCGAACGGGUGAGUAAUGUAUCGGAACGUGCCCAGUCGUGGGGGAUAACGUAGUGAAAAUUACGCUAAUACCGCAUAUGAUCUAUGGAUGAAAGCGGGGGAUCGCAAGACCUCGCGCGAUUGGAGCGGCCGAUAUCAGAUUAGGUAGUUGGUGGGGUAAAGGCUCACCAAGCCAACGAUCUGUGGCUGGUCUGAGAGGACGACCCGCGACGCUGGAACUGGGACACGGUCCAGACUCCUACGGGAGGCAGCAGUGGGGAAUGUGGGACAAUGGGCGAAAGCCUGAAUCAGCCAUUCCGCGUGCAGGAUGAAGGCCCUCGGGUUGUAAACUGCUUUUGUACAGAACGAAAAGGUUUCUACUAAUACUAGGAGCUCAUGACGGUACUGUAAGAAUAAGCACCGGCUAACUACGUGCCAGCAGCCGCCGUAA